rnacentral:rRNA from 1 species
GCUUGUCUCAAAGAUUAAGCCAUGCAUGUCUAAGUAUAAACAAAUCUAUACUGUGAAACUGCGAAUGGCUCAUUAUAUCAGUUAUAGUUUAUUUGAUAGUCCCCACUACUUGGAUAACCGUAGUAAUUCUAGAGCUAAUACAUGCGUCAAGUCCUGACUGCGCGAGCGGAAAGGAUGUGUUUAUUAGAUACAACCAACCCUUCGGGUCCCUGGUGAAUCAUAAUAAUUGAGCGAACCGCAUGCUUCGGCGGCGGUGGUUCAUUCAAGUUUCUGCCCUAUCAGCUUUCGAUGGUAGGGUAUUGGCCUACCAUGGCGUUAACGGGUAACGGAGAAUUAGGGUUCGAUUCCGGAGAGGGAGCCUGAGAGAUGGCUACCACAUCCAAGGAAGGCAGCAGG